UGUUGCCGGUGCUGGAUGGAGCUUUAUCUAUGCUACUAUCCUUGUGAUCUGCGUCUGCAGUGUAGGUGGCCUUCGCCUCCUUCCCUCAGCUUCUCGCAGAUAGGGAGUUUCAUGAAGAAAAGAGAGCUGGGUGCAAAAGAAUGGAUGGCUCUCACCACUGCACUGCCUGUGGGACCCCCUAUCAACAGGAUCAACACCGAGUGGCAGCUUCCCUCGGAGGUGGACCAAUUGCACGGGGAGCUGGAGGAGAUGAGAUCUGUCCUGUGAGAAUGGCAGCCUGCCAUUCCUGUGCAUAAGGCGAGGAUGCCACCCACCCGGACCAUGCCAGUGCAGCAGGAUGACCUCUGCCCCAGUUCUCUGCUGACUCUCCCACACAGCUGAUGGUGUGAAUGGGGGGCGGUGCCUUGAGGGGGGCAGGGUGCAUUUUACCUGCUGGCUCACACCUGCCCUGCUUCCCUCAUGCCACACUGCUGCAGUGGUGCUGCUUGGGCAGUAUCAGGCUGCAGUGUGGUUUCUGCAUGGUGGCGUUUGUUCUGCCUUGAGGGCUUUGCACCACUGAAAAGGGCUCUCUGCGUAGCUGUACAACUAUCCAUGACUCCUUCACCUGGCUCACCUGUGAGGGUUGGCUCCUUUGUCAUGAACAAUAUUGCACUUCAGAGUACUGAUUUUAAAAUGUUAUUUGCAGGCAAUUCUGAAACCUACACUGUGGUUGUUGUUUUUUCUUUGGUUGGCUAAAACCUCUGUUAUUGUUGUCUUUUUAUUUAAUUUUCUUUCUUUCUCCAAUAAUUUUUGUUUCUUUUCUUAUCUAUUCUUUGUGGGUUUUGUGCAUUUGACUUGUUUUUGGGUCCAAGUCUCUUGGUGGUGGUGGUGAUCCGUUGUUUGCAGUGACGUCCACUCUGGGUGUCCUUGGUUUGUGGUGCCACGUGGUGUGUAGAUCCCCCUUGUGUGUGUUUGUGUUUUCUGGCUGCCUGGUAAGCCCCUAUCCUCGUUCCUUUGUAUGGGCGGAGUUCACCUAUGCCGGCCUCGGCUACAACGUGAAGAUGUCAUGUUCUUUUUCACAGAUGUUUAUUGGUUUCACCUCCACCAAACACCGUACAACUAAUAACAGAAUGCAAAACACAAAAUAUAGCAAAAUGAUUAACCCCAAUACCAGUAUCUAAAAAAAAAAAAGCAUCUACACAUUUACAGAGGAAAAAUGAACGUACCACUUUGGCCUGCUUAU